AUGAACGCUGGCGGCGUGCCUAAUACAUGCAAGUCGAGCGAACAGACGAGGAGCUUGCUCCUCUGACGUUAGCGGCGGACGGGUGAGUAACACGUGGAUAACCUACCUAUAAGACUGGGAUAACUUCGGGAAACCGGAGCUAAUACCGGAUAAUAUAUUGAACCGCAUGGUUCAAUAGUGAAAGACGGUUUUGCUGUAACUUAUAGAUGGAUCCGCGCCGCAUUAGCUAGUUGGUAAGGUAACGGCUUACCAAGGCGACGAUGCGUAGCCGACCUGAGAGGGGGAUCGGCCACACUGGAACUGAGACACGGUCCAGACUCCUACGGGAGGCAGCAGUAGGGAAUCUUCCGCAAUGGGCGAAAGCCUGACGGAGCAACGCCGCGUGAGUGAUGAAGGUCUUCGGAUCGUAAAACUCUGUUAUUAGGGAAGAACAAAUGUGUAAGUAACUAUGCACGUCUUGACGGUACCUAAUCAGAAAGCCACGGCUAACUACGUG
rnacentral:rRNA from 1 species